AUGCCUCUCCCAAAUCAACAGCCGGCGGCGGCGGCGGCGGCGGCGAUCGAGCACAUCUAUAAGCCGGAGGACACUUCAAGGUUCGAGCCACGGCUCAAGGUUGUAAAUCGGGAGAAAUCGGAGCUUCUCCAUAAGAUCCGCGACUCGUAUGAUCGUGCCCGCGAGCGGCUCGCCAAGGCGACGGCAUUCAAAGAGGAGAUCUUCCUCGGCGCCGGCCUCUCCUUUGGCCUUCUCGAUCCGACCACCAACAUCAUCUACAACACCCUCGUCGCCUCCAACCUCUGCGACGAGAAAAUCCAGGGUGUUCAGGACGGGAACAUAGCCGAGCGCUCCCUGGACGGCCUUGUCGCCUUCCUCACCUUCUUCUUCCGCUACCUCGCAAACUGGGAAGCCGUGCGCUACCUGCUCCUCGCCGAUGCGGACCUCGUCUACGCGAUGCGCCUCGUUGUGCAUGACCGGUGUAUCUCUCCCUUCAACUUGAACUCUGAUACCAGCAAGUCCGACGUACGCACUGCCCUCAUGUGCGCUGCGCUGGCCUCUAAGCACAUGGAUCCCCACCACCUCGUCCACACCUGGCUGUCGCCGAUUCGCCCUCUGCAAGAAGCCGUCCAGGUGAUCAACAAUGACAUCAAUAAAUUCAGCUGUGACCCGCUGCAUCAUGCUUGCUGGGGCCCUGUCAUGCAAAUGCAACCCCUUGAUUUCGCUUGGAAGCGCGCAUUUGAUCUCCCUCGGUUGCCAUCCACCACCGUGCAGUAUCGUCCUUAUCAGUCCAUGAAGUUUGUUCUCCUCGGGCUAAUCCACACCUUCUACCUGAAUGCACUUGCCCUCCUCCCGGCCGGUGAGCUCCGGUCUUGCUACCACCACAGCAUGCUCAAGGCUGGCCACUGCUAUGGCCCCUUCGACCCUGUCUCCAACAUCAUCAUCAACACUAUCUGGUAUAACACCGUCUCCCCGCCGAGCCAAAAACUUGAGCUUGAUAUGAUCAGUACCAUGAGUCUGUUACGCAUUGAGGCUCGCUCCUUCUAUGGCCUUGUUUCUUUCCUCUGCACUUCGGGCAAGAAACUCUAUGAAGCCAUGCGCUUCUUGCUCAUUUCUGAUUGCACUUUGGGAAAGACUCAGCCCUUUUCGAACCCUUUGUCUGACUUUGGGGAUGAAAACAAAAAAUUUCAUGCCUUCAGGGCUGCCGGUGUGGCUGCUUGGCACCCCGACCCUGUCGCGCAAGCAGAAUUUAUUUCCAAACGCAGUCAUACAUUAAUCCGUCAUAAGAUUAAUGCUCCACUCGACUCUGCUGAUGUUGACCGCAUCACCAGAAAGAUGUUUCAAGGACCUCCCACCCCUGGCAACUCACUGCAGCAUCAAUCCGAUCCCAUGCCCAAGCUAUAUAAAAUUCCGGAUGAGCAUACAAGAGUCUCUAAGAAAGUCAAAGCAGCGCUGGCCUCAUAUGCACUGGAGAACAGAGAAUCCACGUAUGAUCUUCAUGUUAUUUGUGGCGUCAACCAUAAUGUGUCUGGCCCUGAGUACUGUAUGGAUGUUGACAAACCCAUUUUCAUAUAUCAUCACAUUCAUGUUAAUUUUCUGGCAAGUCAAGGAGGUGGAGAUCCAAAACUCUUCUUCGCUGAACUUAGCAAUGACGAUGCAGAGGACGGAGGUCGGAAGGUCUUGUGUUGUCCUGUGAAUUUUCCCAAACCACGCCAAGAACAAAUCCGCUGCAUGUACUGUGAUUAUGAAGGGACUAAAAUUGUGCACCCGGCUAUGGAGGAAUUCCAAUUUAGAGGUCACGACCCAGAGUUUCAGAACAUGGCCUGUGGUAUAGAUCCCUACGAAGACGAACCGUGUCCAGAUGGUGUUAUGCAGUUCUACACAAACUAUAGAAUCAUCAGCAUCUCGUGCGGGGCAUUAGAUAAUGUGGGAGCAGUGGACGAUGACUCUGAUGACGGCACUGAUGAGGAAGAUGACAGCGAUUAUAUUAGCGAAUCUGAAUCUGAGUAA
rnacentral:rRNA from 1 species